ACUCAUUAGAUACGCUAACGGUAUCCAACAAGUUUUUCUAUCCAUCUUCUUUUAUUUUAUUGAUUUUUUCUUUUCCGUUGCAUUAAAAUUUGAUUCCGCUUGAUUAUAUUUGAUUGUACUCAAUCGACAGAAUCAAAUCAAAAGAGGAUAUAUAAACCCAACUUCUUUUGAUUAUUCGGACACACCAACUAGACAAGUUACAAAAUCACAUUGAUAGCUUCGACUCGUGUCCUAACUCAUCUGAGAGCUAGAUUUACCUCAAUUAUUUGGCUCUUCCCUUCUGCUUUCUUCAAAUUAGCUUAUGCUAUUUCAAGAGUUUGUUGAGCUUCUUAUGAAUCAAUGUGACUACUCUUCCCCGCAUCAUUUAUUAAAUCCGUGAUCUCAUUAUAACCUAUUUUAGCAAAGCCACGCAUCAGAACCAUCGUUAACCAUUGAUCAUAACCACCUCAAAACUUGGGCUUUUACCAGGCUCAAGCCAGACUUUUGGCAUGCCUAAGGUUUAAGGAUCUCAGCCCAGGCCCUACCCGAGAGUGGUUCGAGCUGGACUGGCCCGGUCCAAAAAAAUGGUGCAUUGGCUAUUUAUUUGGCACCAAAAAAACACCACAGCUUCAUGCAUGCCAUUACGGUAUAUCAGACCAAAAUCGAAUAAACCCAUUGCGAUACGUCUCUCUCUACAUUCACUGUUCUUGAAAUUGCUAUGUCCAAAGGCAAAUGUAAUCAAUUGGCUUCGCAUCUGAGACUCGUCCACAAUUCCAAAGUUUUUUUUUUUUUGGAUUGUUAAUGCUGUUUUAUUGAAUUGUAUAUUUAAAAUCCAAUCUGCGUUCAUUGAUUUUAUGCUGUUUUAUUGAAUUGUACAUUUAAAAUCCAAUCUGUGUUCGAUGAUUUUAUGCAGUCGAGAAGGUAUUCCGAGGGGGAUCAAUUCCCGAAGAGGUGAACAAUUACGUUAAUCCUAGUGCUAUAUUCAGUCGAAAACACGUGAAGUUCGGCAUCGAACAGGUCUCAGGUUUAAAACAGCUGUUUGUGGUUGCUUUUCAACUUCCAUGUCGAGGGUUGCAAAGAAAGUUACAUCUCAAUGACAGGAAUUGAUAUUAUGUAGUUUCAAUGGUUUAUGCCAGUGCCCCAGAUAGGCUACCUGAUUCUCUGGUUCUACUUAGGACCUCUGCAACAAAGGUGAAUUCUGGGAAGGGGUUUUGUGUUCUAGGCAUGCAGGUUUUGUUAUUUUUCUUCAUAACUUGGAAUACAGUUUAGAUAAUUAAAUAAAAAUAUAAGUCAUGAACAUGGCCGAAAUUAACUAUUUUGAAUAACAAUGGGAGAGUACUGAGGAAAGACUUCGAUUUCUUUGUUGAAAAUUAUUUAUCUAUUCCUUUUGUUUCCAAAUUUUUUUUUUUUAAAUGAUAAUCUAACAAAUUAAUGGUGUGGCGAUUAAAUUUAAGUAUCAAAUUUUUUAUACAUGCAUCACAAAUUUGAUAUCAAAUCUUUGGUGGCAGGGGAGGCUUAUUAAAUAAGUGUCUUGCUACCGUCAGUCUUAACGACUCUAAUAAGAACAACAUAAUGUUAAAACUAGUCCAGCACACAUUAAUGUUAAAAAUAGUCCAGCAUACAUUAAUGCGUACUAAUAAAAUAUUUAAAUAAGUAAAAAUAAAAUAAAAUAUUUAUUGUAUAUUAUGUACUAGUCAAGUGGUAAGAGUUUUCUUCACCAA